rnacentral:rRNA from 1 species
UACGUAGGGGGCAAGCGUUGUCCGGAAUCAUUGGGCGUAAAGCGCGUGUAGGCGGCUCGAUAAGUCUGCUGUGAAAGUCCAGGGCUCAACCCUGGAAUGCCGGUGGAAACUGUCGAGCUAGAGUCCGGAAGAGGCGAGUGGAAUUCCUGGUGUAGCGGUGAAAUGCGUAGGUAUCGGAAGGAACACCUGUGGCGAAAGCGGCUCACUGGACCAUUACUGACGCUGAUGCACGAAAGCUAGGGGAGCAAACAGG